rnacentral:rRNA from 1 species
GACGAACGCUGGCGGCGUGCUUAACACAUGCAAGUCGAACGGAAAGGCCCUGCUUUUGUGGGGUGCUCGAGUGGCGAACGGGUGAGUAACACGUGAGUAACCUGCCCUUGACUUUGGGAUAACUUCAGGAAACUGGGGCUAAUACCGGAUAGGAGCUCCUGCUGCAUGGUGGGGGUUGGAAAGUUUCGGCGGUUGGGGAUGGACUCGCGGCUUAUCAGCUUGUUGGUGGGGUAGUGGCUUACCAAGGCUUUGACGGGUAGCCGGCCUGAGAGGGUGACCGGCCACAUUGGGACUGAGAUACGGCCCAGACUCCUACGGGAGGCAGUAGUGGGGAACAUUGCACAAUGGGCGGAAGCCUGAUGCAGAAACGCUGCGUGCGGGAUGACGGCCUUCGGGUUGUAAACCGCUUUCGCCUGUGACGAAGCGUGAGUGACGGUAAUGGGUAAAGAAGCACCGGCUAACUACGUG